rnacentral:rRNA from 1 species
AGGACGAACGCUGGCGGCGUGCUUAACACAUGCAAGUCGAGCGGAAAGGCCCUUCGGGGUACUCGAGCGGCGAACGGGUGAGUAACACGUGAGCAACCUGCCCUUAGCUCCGGGAUAGCUCCGGGAAACCGGAAUUAAUACCGGAUAUGACCUAGGCCGACAUCGGCUGUGGUGGAAAGUUUUUCGGCUGGGGAUGGACUCGCGGCCUAUCAGCUUGUUGGUGGGGUAAUGGCCUACCAAGGCGACGACGGGUAGCCGGCCUGAGAGGGCGACCGGCCACACUGGGACUGAGACACGGCCCAGACUCCUACGGGAGGCCAGCAGUGGGGAAUCUUGCGCAAUGGGCGAAAGCCUGACGCAGCGACGCCGCGUGGGGGAUGAAGGCCUUCGGGUUGUAAACCCUUUCAGCAGGGACGAAGCGAAAGUGACGGUACCUGCAGAAGAAGCGCCGGCUAACUACGUGCCAGCAGCCGC